AAGGCUGAGUGGUAAAGCGCUUGGCUUCGAACCGAGGUGUCCCGGGUUUGAAUCCUGGU
rnacentral:tRNA from 1 species